rnacentral:lncRNA from 1 species
GCCUUCACGAUCGUGAUGGCCCGCUGGUCCCACUUCUCUGUCUCAAACUGGCUUUUUCUCAAUCCUUUGACUCCGCCGGGCUUUGUCACCCCCAUGACCUGGUGUUGGGUCUGAUCACCCCAACGUUCCUGGCUGCUCAAUGUGGGGUGACAAAGACCCCGGUGAAGGAACGCUAGAGCGUGUGAAAGCAGAGGACGCAUCAUCAGAGGACACCUGAGGAUGUCUAAAAGAAGCUCAGCAGGAAAGCUGAGUGCUGGGAAGAACCAGGGUAGCAAUGGGACAAAGUGAAAGCAGACAUUCUGCUUAUUUAAAUUUCUUAAGGCGUUUAUUAUGAAGAGGGGGGAGUGAAAGUUAGUGCUCAGAAUUUAUCACUCUUCAGUGCAGUAAAGCAGUUUUGCCCAUGGUUCCCGGAACAAGGGACUAUGGAGUUGGAUGAAUGGGAGAGAAUUGGCAGAGAUUUUUAAAAAAACAUAUAAAGGUGGAGCAAAUAUUCCAGUCUCGGUUUGGUCAAUGUGGGCACUAAUAAAAGCAGCUCUUGAGCCAUUUCAAACAGAUCAUGAGGCAGAUUCAGAUGAGGAAGAGGAGGGCGAGUGUAAAAAACUAACUUCAGAUUCUGAAUGUGAGGAACAGAAACCGGAGGAAAUCAAAGAAAGGGAAACCGAAAAAGGUCCUAAUAAGAGAUGAAGAACAAUGAAGAUAUCGUGAAAAAUAUUUUGCUUCCCUGCCUUCAUACAAUCCUCUAACAGUCAAAAAUGUAUCUGCAGCGCCCAGUAAGGCCAACUGAUGACUCAAACACAACCCCCCAAGGGUGUCCUUAUGCCCUUCCAUUGCUUAAAAUAAAGAGCUCGGGGGUCACUUACGGAAAUCAAUGGGUAAGUCAAAAUGUUAGCCAUAUAACGCCAGCUAUAUUUACUUCAAAGGAAGCAAAACUGUCAUGCCCAAAGACAAAAACAAACGUGAUAUCUGAUGACAUCAUCAUACUUUAGUCAUUCACCAUGCCAAAGAAAAGCUUUUUUUUUUUCUGAGACAGAAUCUUGCUCUGUCACCCAGGCUGGAGUGCAAUGGCAUGAUCUCGGGUCACUACAACCUCUGUCUCCCCGGUUCAAGCAAUUCUCCUGCCUCAACCUCCUGCGUAGCUGGGAUUACAGGUCGGCCCAUGGCUGCUCAUGGAACAAUCGGCUAGCGUUUCCUCCCCUCUGAGAUCCAUAAAAGCCGGCAGCUCAGCCAGAGCAGGGCAGAGGGCAGAGGACAGAGAGAUGAUGGGAUGACCCGCUGCAGAGAGGAGCUACCCUCCUGCUGAGAGCUUCAGAGACCUGCAGAGACUUCCAAAUGAUCUGCCUGCAGAGAUGAGCCACGCUUUCCAGGGCUUUCUCUCUGCUGAGAGCUGAGUACUUGAGGAGAGGGCCUGCCUAGGAGCCGACCUGACUACAGAGAGGAGCUGCCCACUGUGGGUCUCUUCUGUUCUAACACUAAAUAAAGCUCCUCUUUAUCUUCUUCACCCUUCACCUGUCUGC